AGUAUGUGUAUGCUAUUUGGAGUUGAAACCUUCCCAACUGUGAGCUAGUUAUGUUUAUAAAGGUAAUUGUCUCAGGUGUUGCCUUGGAGGCAUGCAAAGCAGCCUAUAUGGUGAUUGAUCAACUUGGGAGAGAAGCAAAAAGGCUUGCCUUGCAGAUUCUUGGGUUAGCAGGCGAGCAAGACAGGCUCAAGCCUCCUCUAAAGGGCAGUGAGUGGGACACCUUCACUGAUAAAUUGUCCUCUGCUCAGGGGCAGAAUGUGUGGCAAGUUCCUGAGGCAGCUGUUAGCUAAGGAGAGCCAGCACUCCACCCCCGUGGGGCGCUUCCUGCUUCCGGUGUUCAUGGGAUUCCGCCUCCUGCUUCUGGUUUCCAGUGGACCUGGGGUCUUCGGUGAUGAUGAGAAGGAAUUCAUGUGUCAUUUAGGACAGCCAGGCUGCAAGACCGUGUGUUAUGAUGUCUUCCGCCCCCUUUCUCCACUGCGCUUCUGGGCCUUCCAAGUCAUUCUGAUGGCUGUACCCAGUGCCAUUUAUGUGGGGUUCACUCUGUAUCAUGUGAUUGGACACUGGGAGGAACCAGGAAAGGAGAACAAGGAGCAAGAAUUCCAGAUGCGCGAGGGGGACUGCAACAAGGAUGUCUUAGGGACUGGAAACCUCAAGCUUCUCUGGGCCUAUGUGGCACAGCUUGGGGCGCGGCUAGUCCUUGAGGGAGCAGCCCUGGGAGUUCAGUACCACCUGUACGGCUUCAAGAUGCCUAGCACUUUUGUAUGUCGUGAAGAUCCGUGCAUCGGCAGCACGACCUGUUUCCAGUCGCACCCCUCUGAGAAGACAGUCCUACUCAAUACUAUGUUUGGGAUCAGUGGGGCCUGUCUCAUGUUUACUUCCUUGGAGCUUGUGCUUUUGGGCUUAAAAAGGUUUUGGAGCAUGUACAAGUGCAAGCUUCCUUUUUUAAAGAACUUACCAACGUCAAAGAGCUCCAUAAGGCGCAAGGACCCAGCUGAUGACUUGUCGGUGGUGGAGACAAAAGAGCCAUUUUGAGAAGCAGGUGAGGACCCUACUGACAGUCAUCUGUCCCUGCCUCUGAUGUCUCUGUGUUGGCGACCUCCACUCAGGACAUAAGCAACCACCAGCCUGCUUUCUGUUCUAAUGGAGUAUCCUAGUCGGGGUAUUAUAGAUGGAAUCACACAACAUGCCUAUUGGCCACUUGUUUAUCUUUGUAGAAAAGACCAAGUCA